AUUCUUGGAGUACUUGAGCAGUCCUCCACAAGUCGGUAGGCUUUGCUUCUUCAAUACAAAUUACUAUUAAAAUUAAAUAAAGUGUAGUAGUUCCCCAGUGUAGGAAACUACUACUAUGGCUAACUGGAAAACGGAAAGGAAAAAGGGAAACUCUAAAAAGAAUGGCGAAUACAAUAAGGCAAUAGAAACAAGGUUGCUGGAAAAGAAAAAAAAUGCUAAAAGCUAGAAAGCUGA
rnacentral:lncRNA from 1 species